AGGAAAUGGGCACGUGUCUUGUUGUAUUCAAUCCUAACAGAACAACGUAUAAGAUAGCGAUGGUAUUUUCUAUUAUAAUCAGAGCAAGCAGAACUAAAAUAAAAUACAUACAUCUGAUGCAAACAUCAAAAUCGCCAUCCGAGUGUGUCCAACAGAGAUCGGCAACCAUUCUUGCUACGGUUGCUAAUAAUAAGUACAACAAAGCACAUGUUUAAAAGAUGUAUCAUAAUAAAAGCUACAAAAAUCAUAUGCCCUACUUGCUUUUGCUACAUAUAUCUACAAGUAUACAACAAGCUAAAGUACUGCACAAAAUCUGGAAUCGCGCUCGGGAGAUCGGAGACACCAUCCAAGCUACUGCAAAGACCUUGUCCUGCCUUGUGAUAGUGGUGACCUGCAAUCCAAGAAAAUGAGAUGAGCAUCCGUCAGAGACAGACAGAGAGAGAGAGAGAGAGGUGAACCUGCAGUAGCGGCCUGGGUGGAGUUGCAGUCCACGCAGGUGCCGAUGCGUGCGAGAGUGAAGACUGUACCUAGAGGACCGUGGAGUCGUGGGCGAGCUUGUAGUCCUUGUAGAGGAACUAGCCGCCACCCGCCGCCGCGAAGGAGGCCAGCCUCACCCGCAGUAUGAACCCCAUCCUCCUCCUCCUCGCUGCUCCUCCACCACGUUGAGGUUCCACACAAACCGUCAAGCGCCGCCGCGCUCCGCCUGGCCACCUACCAUGGACGACAGCGACGAUGCUGCGAACGACCGUCUCGGCAGCACUCAAUCCUCACCAUGACAUCCAUGACCUCUCCGAUGUGGCCUGACAGGGCACUCUCUCGCGUGGUGCGGCGGCCGCCCAUGCUGCCUCUGCCGAGGACCGUGGAGAGGAGAGAGGGACGGGGGACCGUGGAGAGGAGAGGGAGACGAGAGAGGCGGAGCAGCUGCGGCGGCGAGACGCGUUCCUCCCGCUGAGCAUCGAGAGGGCGGGGAGGAGGAGACAAGCGACGACGCGGCAGGGAGCGG
rnacentral:lncRNA from 1 species